rnacentral:tRNA from 1 species
AUAAAGUAAGCUAAGUUAAGCUAGUGGGUUCAUACCCCAAAAAUGAGUUUAAUAUUCCUUUAUU